UACCGAGACUGCAAGCGUUAUUCGGAUUCACUGGGCGUAAAGGGUGCGCAGGCGGCCAGGUGUGUUAGGCGUGAAAGCCCGAGGCUUAACCCCGGAAUUGCACCUAAAACUACUUGGCUAGAGCAUUGGAGAGGGUAGCGGAAUUCACGGUGUAGCAGUGAAAUGCGUAGAUAUCGUGAGGAACACCAGAGGCGAAGGCGGCUACCUGGACAAUUGCUGACGCUCAGGCACGAAAGCGUGGGGAGCAAAAGGG
rnacentral:rRNA from 1 species